CAUUUUUCCUUUUUGUUUACAAACAUUGCGUAAGUAUAUAAGGGGAAAUACACCACUACUUAUCAAUUCAGACUCAUACAGAGAUAGAGACGAUUCAAAUUUUACAAAUUCAAGACUAACAUUAUGGACAGAAGAGAGUUGAGAAACUAUGUCGAUAUGCCACACUUUCAUCCGGAGAAAAAUGUUGUCAAUGGUAUCGACCUGUACAAAAAGGGGAGGUUCAUCCAUGAGAUCCGACAUGAGAUGGAGAAGCAUUCGUCUCUGGAACCAAUGAGGGUCCGUUCCAACAGUACAGGGUCUCAGGGCGAGCCUUCCACUCCUGUUGGGUCCCCAACUUCUUUAGCAUCUCAAAGCUGGUACCAUAAAUGGGCGUAAACCUAUCUUUAUAGAAACAAUUUGACGAAUGGUGAUAUGAUUUAAUGACCAACUAACCUAUACGAACAGUAUCCACACUUUGGACAAUUGAACAGACUAUAGGACAAAGUUGUACUUGAACCCUAAUCAGGGAUACAAAUUCUGAUGAAUUGUUUUGAACAAUUGAAUGUGAAAUGAUUUUGAUAUGUCUGUAAUUUGCUGUAAUUUGUGCAGCCUGUUUGCCUCUAUUGUAUUAUUGUUAAUGGUAGUGUACUCAUAGUGAAUAUGCUUUAUCAUUUUUAUACAUAAUUUAAUUUGAA